GGUCCCUCCUGGAGCGGCUCCAGCCGCACAGCCGCCGCCGCUCGGGCUCGUCCUCCGGCAGCUGAUGUCCAGCCGGGUGCUCGGGCGGUACGCAGUGGCACACAGCCACAGGAUGUCAGCCGAACGCACACCUCGAAGGUUGGCCUUCACAGAUGCUGCUUACAUGCUGAGGAUUUCUUUUUAUUUCCCUAGAAUGCUCCUCUUUGGACAAUCAUACUUUAUGCACCCUAUCCAGGACAGUGAUUUUCGGUCUAGGGUACAUAUUCCCUGAAGCUGUCUUCAUCAAGGAGAGGAGAUUAGGAUACGGACACAACAAGAGGAAAGACCACGUAAGUUUAGACACACAGAGAAGACAGCCAUCUGCAAGCCAAGAGGACAGACCUCGAAAGAACGGUGACCCUGCCAACACCUUGAUCUCAGACUUGCAGCCUCCAGAACCAUGAGAAAAUAAAUUUCUGGUGUGUGAGUCACCCAGUCUGUGGUAUUUUGUUAUGGCAGCUAAAGUAGACUAAUACACAAGGAUUUCAUCUGGGCCCUGACUACCUCUCUAGAGCCUCAGCUCUCUGUCAGGCUCCAUCCAUCCCCAUAUCACCACCUACCCACACCUCCGCCUUACUAGUUUUGAGACCUUGGACCGCCUAACCUUUCUGUCCCCAGUUUUCUUACCUGUCAAAUGGGGAUAGUAACAUUACCUUCCUAGAGUUGCAUGAUGAUUAAAUGUGGUCAUCUGUGUGACGCAUUUAACACAGUGUGAACAUAAAAAACACUCAAUAAAUACUAGCAGGUACGGUCCGGCCGUAAGGCGUUAACUGCCAUUCUCCAACUAUACGCUGUUUUGCUCCGCUUCCAUGAGUUAGCACAUGCUACCAUGUCUGAUUAGAAUGACUUUCUCCCACUGUGUCACCUAGCUAACUCUCGGUUGUCCUUCAAGACUGAAGUCCCGUGUAGAGCCAGCUCUCAUCCACUCUCCGUCAUCUGAAGCUCUUCUCUAGACUCCCACAUCUCCCAGUGCUUGCCUCUACCAAGUGAGAAGCCAUCGCAGGGUUUAAGGUGGAGGAGUGACCUGAUCUGGCUUGAGUACCUACCAUAUACCAGGCACCAUCUCAGGUUCUGAGUCAAGACGAAUAAAAAUAACAAAGAACACUUAGCUUAUAGGGUUACUGAGAGGAUUAUGAGAGACAAACUAAGCCAAGCACUUAAGACAGUGCCUGGCAUACGGUAAACACUCAGUAAAUGCUAACAAUUAUUAUCUAUGUAUAUUCAGGACACUUCCUUGCAUCCGUUGACAUCUGUAGCCUUUUGUUCAUAGUCUUCCUCCCUAAACACAAAUUCCGCAACCAUCCUGGGUGACGAUCCCUCCAACAUGCUAGCCUCUCUCCUGGACCUCAACUCCAGUAACAUGUAUCUCCACCCUACUCCAGACACACCAUGACAACAUCCUGACCUUGAUAUUGUUGUUGGGUUUUUGCAGAGCGAAUACACUGUGUAUAACCAUAGGAAUAGAUUCGUAUAUAGAAAGCCCAGGUGGAAUUUUCCAUUAGCUUAAGUUGAG